CCGGGGCGGGUUGUGCGGGGCGUCGCCGACGCUCAUGUCGUCGCCGCUCAUGUCGUGGGUGCUCAUGUGGUCGCCGCUCAUGUCGUGGG
rnacentral:tRNA from 1 species